GGGGAUAUGGCUCAGUUGGUAGAGUGCUUGCUUUGCAUGCACAAGGCCCUGGGUUCAAUCCCCAGUACCACCA
rnacentral:tRNA from 1 species